rnacentral:rRNA from 1 species
UACGAAGGGUGCAAGCGUUACUCGGAAUUACUGGGCGUAAAGCGUGCGUAGGUGGUUUGUUAAAUCUGAUGUGAAAGCCCUGGGCUCAACCUGGGAAUUGCAUUGGAUACUGGCAGGCUAGAGUGCGGUAGAGGAUGGCGGAAUUCCCGGUGUAGCAGUGAAAUGCGUAGAGAUCGGGAGGAACAUCUGUGGCGAAGGCGGCCAUCUGGACCAGCACUGACACUGAGGCACGAAAGCGUGGGGAGCAAACAGG